GCGAGAAGUUCCUUCGGGAGCGAGUACAGCGGCGAAAGGGAGAGUAACGCGUAGAUACGUACCCUCGGGUUCGGGAUAGCGGCGGGAAACUGCCGGUAAUACCGGAUAACGUCUCCGGACCAAAGGUUUACUGCCCGGGGAGCGGUCUGCGUCCUAUUAGCUUGUUGGUGGGGUAACGGCCUACCAAGGCUAAGAUGGGUAGCGGGUGUGAGAGCAUGACCCGUCUCACUGGGACUGAGACACUGCCCAGACGUCUACGGACGGCUGCAGUCGAGAAUCUUCCGCAAUGGACGAAAGUCUGACGGAGCGACGCCGCGUGCGGGAUGAAGGCCUUCGGGUUGUAAACCGCUGUCAGAGGGGAGCAAAUUUUGAGCGAUCCUCAAAGGAAGCACAGGCUAAGUUCGUGCCAGCAGCCGCGGUAAUACGAACUGUGCAAACGUUAUUCGGAAUCACUGGGCUUAAAGGGUGCGUAGGCGGCAAUGUAGGUCAGGUGUGAAAUCCCACGGCUCAACCGUGGAACUGCGCUUGAAACCACAUAGCUUGAGGGAGUCAGAGGUAAGCGGAACUGAUGGUGGAGCGGUGAAAUGCGUUGAUAUUAUCAGGAACACCGGUGGCGAAAGCGGCUUACUGGGACUCUUCUGACGCUGAGGCACGAAAGCUAGGGGAGCGAACGGGAUUAGAUACCCCGGUAGUCCUAGCUGUAAACGAUGAGCACCAGUCCGUGGGGACCCCCACAUCUUCUCGGACGUAGCGAAAGUGUUAAGUGCUCCGCCUGGGGAGUAUGGUCGCAAGGCUGAAACU
rnacentral:rRNA from 1 species